AGAGUUUGAUCAUGGCUCAGAUUGAACGCUGGCGGCAUGCCUUACACAUGCAAGUCGAACGGCAGCGCGGGGGCAACCCUGGCGGCGAGUGGCGAACGGGUGAGUAACAUAUCGGAACGUGCCCUGGAGUGGGGGAUAACUAGUCGAAAGAUUAGCUAAUACCGCAUACGCUCUUAGGAGGAAAGUGGGGGACCGCAAGGCCUCAUGCUCGUGGAGCGGCCGAUAUCUGAUUAGCUAGUUGGUGGGGUAGCGGCCCACCAAGGCAACGAUCAGUAGCUGGUCUGAGAGGACGACCAGCCACACUGGGACUGAGACACGGCCCAGACUCCUACGGGAG
rnacentral:rRNA from 1 species